GACGAACGCUGGCGGCGUGCUUAACACAUGCAAGUCGAACGGAGCACCCCUGAAGGAGUUUUCGGACAACGGAAGGGAAUGCUUAGUGGCGGACUGGUGAGUAACGCGUGAGGAACCUGCCUUUCGGAGGGGGACAACAGUUGGAAACGACUGCUAAUACCGCAUGAUACGUCGAAGCCGCAUGACUUUGACGUCAAAGAUUUAUCGCCGAAAGAUGGCCUCGCGUCUGAUUAGCUAGUUGGUGAGGUAACGGCCCACCAAGGCGACGAUCAGUAGCCGGACUGAGAGGUUGGCCGGCCACAUUGGGACUGAGAUACGGCCCAG
rnacentral:rRNA from 1 species